CUUUCAUAUAUUUUUGUAAAGAUUUAUAAUUAAAUACAGUAUUUCAAACCUAAAAAUAUUCAAAUCUAAAAAUAUUUGAGUAAGAUCAAUAUUUGUUUUGUAAGGAUCUAUGCAGAGGUAUUAAAAUCGACUGCUGUAUGAUUUGACUCUAAAAUCAGCCUGCACCAGAAAUUUUGUAUGUUACUUCCACACAAACAUGUCAGAAUAUGGCUAAAACAUGAUAUGCAGUGCAUGAACAAGAGACCCUGAGGUCCAGGAUAAGAGAAAUGAUUCAGAAACUAAUUUAUAACAAUAACAAGCAAAAUUAAUUUAUUUAAUAUAAUAAAAUAACAAAAAUUACCAUAGAAUAAUAAAGUAUACUAUUUGAAAUCAGGUGAAUAAUACCAAAAUUACAUAAAUGAUUAGGAUUAACAAACUAGAACAAGAUAUUGCAUUAGAACUAUUACAACUUUCCCAGGAGAGCUAUUUAUUAUGGGAGUGUUUGGACAUACCUGAGAGGAAGAUAUGUAUGUGCUCUUUCUUCUAUUUACAUUCUCCAUGUAUAAAUUCCUUCUUAAUAUCAAUCUUCUGUAAUAGUCAUCACCUUUAUUCGUCUAUAUCAGACUAACCAUCCGAUGGGAUAGAAUAUGACCUUCUUAACUACUAUAUUUUCAUCCAUCUCCUCCUCUACACAACCUCUCAACAAGGAACUGGCCCUUUUUAUUUGUCUAGAAUAGAGAUGGCCAACCUGCUAGCCAAUCACCACAUGUGGCAGUUUUUACUUUGGCAUAUUUUUAUUUCUUUUGUUGUUAAUGAAAAUUAAUUCUUAUUAUGUUAAAAAUUGAAAAAACUAGGCAUUAUUUCUG
rnacentral:lncRNA from 1 species